rnacentral:rRNA from 1 species
GAUGAACGCUAGCGGCAGGCUUAACACAUGCAAGUCGAGGGGCAGCGCGGGAUAGCAAUAUCCUGGCGGCGACCGGCGGAAGGGUGCGUAACGCGUGAGCGACAUGCCCGUUGCCCGGGGACAACCGGUGGAAACGCCGACUAAUCCCCGAUGGGAUACGAUGCUUCAUGGCAUUGUAUUGAAAGUUACGGCGGCGACGGAUUGGCUCGCGUCCGAUUAGCUGGUUGGCGGGGUAACGGCCCACCAAGGCUGCGAUCGGUAGGGGUUCUGAGAGGAAGGCCCCCCACAAUGGGACUGAGACACGGCCCAUACUCCUACGGGAGGCAGCAGUGAGGAAUAGUGGUCAAGGGGCGGAAGCCUGAACCAGCCAUGCCGCGUGCGGGAAGGAGGCCCUAUGGGCUGUGAACCGCUUUUGCCUGGGGGCAAUAAGGGCGUCGCGCACGUCCGAUGAGAGUACCAGGCGAAUAAGCAUCGGCUAACUCCGUG